rnacentral:lncRNA from 1 species
GUAUUUUUAGUGGAGACAGGGUUUCACCGUGUUGGCCAGGGGGGUCUCGAACUCCUGACCUCAGGUGAUCUACCCACCUCGGCCUCUCAAAGUGCUGGGAUGACAGGCAUGAGCCACCGUGCCUGGCCUAAGGACAAACUCUCUUUUUUUUUUUUUGAGACAGAGUUGCUCUGUUACCGAGGCUGGAGUGCAGCGGCGCAAUCUCGGCUUACUGCAACUUCCGCUUCCUGGAUUCAAGCAAUUCUCCUGCCUCAGCCUCCCGAGUAGCUGGGAUUACAGGCAUGUGCCACCAUGUCCGGCUAAUUUUUGUAUUUUUAGUAAAGAUGGGGUUUCACCAUGUUGAUCAGGCUGGUCUCGAACUCCUGACCUCGUGAUCCGCCCGCCUCGGCCUCCCAAAGUGCUGGGAUUACAGGUGUGAGCCACCACGCCUAGCUCCUACGGACAAACUCUUAAUUCAGUCUUGAGGAUUUGGCCCCAGAAAACCUUAAUAGCCCAUCCAGUCUCUGAUCUCUAGCUACAACAUUUUUUGAAACGGAGUCUCGCUCUGUCGCGCAGGCUGGAAGUGAGACUCUGUCUCAAAAAAAAGAAAAAGAAAAACACAUGCAUAUAAUGUAUUUUAUUCAAAUCUUGCCAUAAUUCAAGAGUAUGAAUACAGUCUACCACUCCUAAGCCCAAGAGUAUCUAAAGCAUAUACCAUUUCUAGAACAUCUCACUAAACCAGUACAGUUAAAAUAAAUCCCAGUUACUUGAACUGCCUUUUAAAAUGUUAAGACAUAAAUCUAAAUAUAAUACAAUAUAGCUCUAUUCAACAUAAGUUUUAGAACUUCAUCUAAACUGUUUUUGAUUAAAAUAUCUUUAAACUUUCUUAAAGUGAAAUGAGCAUUAUUUCUAGAAGACGGGUUACUAUUAAAAACACCAGUUAGUUGGCCGGGCGCAGUGGCUCAUGCCUGUAAUCCCAGCACUUUGGGAGGCGGAGGCGGGCAGACCACAAGGUCAGGAGUUCAAGACCAGCCUGACCAACAUGGAGAAAUCCCGUCUCUACUAAAAAUACAAAAAUUAGCCAGGCAUGGUGGCACAUGCCGGUAAUCCCACUCAGGAGGCUGAGGCAGGAGAAUCGCUUGAACCCAGGAGGCAGAGGUUGCAGUGAGCUGAGAUCACGCCACUGCACUCCAGUCUGGUGAAUAGAGCAAGACUCAGUCUCAAAAAAAAGAGCCCAGUUAGUUGUAUCAGUUGUAGGUGGAGUUGGAGAGACAAGUGCAGAUGGAUGUAUAGAACACCUCACAGAACAGGGAAUACUGAAACUUUCUUCUACUUUAAAAAGUCCCCUGUUUCAAUCUGCUUUCCAGUCCUUUUGAUUUUUGCUCACAAACUGGGGGAAAACACCACUCCUUCUGAUGCAUGGCUAUCUUCCUGAAAAAUUAAUUUGAUGAGGUUGUGCAACCAGAGGCUGAAGUGAAGUUACAAAGGUUACACGCUG